UGACCUGUGCAACAGUGGGUGAUGAUCAGGAUUAAACUAACUGGCCCACUCAGUCUUAAAACAAAGCUUCAACUAUAAUUGGUAGACGUAAAAUGAGGGGAAGAAACAGGAAGUGACGCAAUAGAACAUGACUGUAAAAGGGAGUUAUGACAUCCUGAGUGAGUUCUACUUAAAUUAGAGGCUGAAGAAAAAUCUGCUGACUGGACCUGAGACCCUGUUCCUGGUGGGACUGUCCUUAAAUCUCUUCCUUUGGACUGGCACGUGUAUCUAGGUAAGCUACUGAAAUGGAGACAGAUGAGAACCAAAACUUUUAGAGGAAAAUAGGAACAGGACCAACUUCGUAAUUUACUAAUUGAUCACAUACCUGUGGGAGAGAAUCAGUGCUUUGACCAUGUAGUUUGACUACUGUUUCUGAAGAGCCAGAUGUGGAAGAACUGAUUUCCUUUACAAUUAGUCCUGAAGGAGAAAUUAAAAAUAACAAUGAAGUCUUUCAA